GGGGAUUAGUGGCGAACGGGUGAGUAACACGUGGGCAAUCUGCCCUGCACUCUGGGACAAGCCCUGGAAACGGGGUCUAAUACCGGAUACUCACUGCCUUGGGCAUCCUUGGUGGUGGAAAGCUCCGGCGGUGCAGGAUGAGCCCGCGGCCUAUCAGCUAGUUGGUGAGGUAAUGGCUCACCAAGGCGACGACGGGUAGCCGGCCUGAGAGGGCGACCGGCCACACUGGGACUGAGACACGGCCCAGACUCCUACGGGAGGCAGCAGUGGGGAAUAUUGCACAAUGGGCGAAAGCCUGAUGCAGCGACGCCGCGUGAGGGAUGACGGCCUUCGGGUUGUAAACCUCUUUCAGCAGGGAAGAAGCGAAAGUGACGGUACCUGCAGAAGAAGCGCCGGCUAACUACGUGCCAGCAGCCGCGGUAAUACGUAGGGCGCAAGCGUUGUCCGGAAUUAUUGGGCGUAAAGAGCUCGUAGGCGGCUUGUCACGUCGGUUGUGAAAGCCCGGGGCUUAACCCCGGGUCUGCAGUCGAUACGGGCAGGCUAGAGUUCGGUAGGGGAGAUCGGAAUUCCUGGUGUAGCGGUGAAAUGCGCAGAUAUCAGGAGGAACACCGGUGGCGAAGGCGGAUCUCUGGGCCGAUACUGACGCUGAGGAGCGAAAGCGUGGGGAGCGAACAGGAUUAGAUACCCUGGUAGUCCACGCCGUAAACGGUGGGCACUAGGUGUGGGCAACAUUCCACGUUGUCCGUGCC
rnacentral:rRNA from 2 species